UCCCGGGUGGUCUAGUGGCUAGGACUUGGUGCUUUCACUGCAGAGGCCCAGGUUCAAUCCCUGGACUGGGAA
rnacentral:tRNA from 1 species